rnacentral:misc_RNA from 1 species
AACAUCGCGCACCUGCGGGAACCUGCGGAAGGAUCAUUACAGAGUUGCAAAACUCCCUAAACCAUUGUGAACGUUACCUAAACCGUUGCUUCGGCGGGCGGCCCGGGUCCUUCCCGGCGCCCAUCGGCCCUCGCGGGCGCCCGCCGGAGGUAAACCAAACCAUUGCAUUGUAUGGCCUCUCUGAGUCUUCUGUACUGAAUAAGUCAAAACUUUCAACAAUGGAUCUCAGAUCGGAAGAGC